GGCUGGUCUGAGUGCAGUGGUGUUUACAACUAAUUGAUCACAACCAGUUACAGACUUCUUUGUUCCUUCUCCACUCCCACUGCUUCACUUGACUUGCCUAAA
ensembl:Y_RNA Y_RNA Y RNA